rnacentral:rRNA from 1 species
GUAGGGAAUCUUCCACAAUGGACGAAAGUCUGAUGGAGCAACGCCGCGUGAGUGAAGAAGGUUCUCGGAUCGUAAAACUCUGUUGUGAGGGAAGAACAAGUACCGGAGUAACUGCCGGUACCUUGACGGUACCUCAUUAGAAAGCCACGGCUAACUACGUGCCAGCAGCCGCGGUAAUACGUAGGUGGCAAGCGUUGUCCGGAAUCAUUGGGCGUAAAGCGAGCGCAGGCGGUCCCUUAAGUCUGAUGUGAAAGCCCACGGCUCAACCGUGGAGGGUCAGUGGAAACUGGGGGACUUGAGUGCAGAAGAGGAAAGCGGAAUUCCAAGUGUAGCGGUGAAAUGCGUAGAGAUUUGGAGGAACACCAGUGGCGAAGGCGGCUUUCUGGUCUGUAACUGACGCUGAGGCGCGAAAGCGUGGGGAGCAAACAGGAUUAGAUACCCCUGUAGUCC